ensembl:snRNA U4 U4 spliceosomal RNA
AGCUUUGUGCAGUGGCAGUAUCGUAGCCAAUGAGGUUUAUCCGACGCACAAUUAUUGCUAAUUGAAAGCCUCAACAUAAUCCAAAAACUUGAAAUUAUCCAGUUAUGUUUUUUGAUGAGAGUGGAAUUUAUCUAGAAAUCAAUAAUGAA